UAACACGUAUGUAACCUACCUUGAUCAGGGGGAUAGCCUCUCGAAAGAGAGAUUAAGACCGCAUAACAUUGCAAUAUGGCAUCAUAAAGCAAUCAAAUAUUUAUAGGAUCAAGAUGGGCAUGCGGAACAUUAGCUAGUUGGUGUGGUAACGGCAUACCAAGGCUACGAUGUUUAGGGGAUCUAACAUAAACAACAAGGGA
rnacentral:rRNA from 1 species